rnacentral:tRNA from 1 species
GAGGGCAUAGCUCAGUGGUAGAGUGUCUGCUUAGUGAGCACAAGGCCAUGGGUUCAAUCCCCAGUACAUUCA